AAUAUUGCGCAAUGGAGGGAACUCUGACGCAGCGACGCCGCGUGAGCGAUGAAGGUUNNNGGAUUNUCAAGCUCUGUCCUUGGNGACNAAGAGCGCUGUUAAGCGACUUUAACGGUACCCAAAGAUGAAGCCCCGGCCAACUAAGUGACAGCAGCCGCGGUAAGACGUAGGGGGCAAGCGUUGUUCGGAAUUAUUGGGCGUAAAGGGUUCGUAGGCGGCCUUUUAAGUCAGAUGUGAAAGACCACGGCUUAACCGUGGGGUUGCAUUUGAAACUGGAGGGCUUGAGUAUCGGAGAGGGUAGUGGAAUUCCCAGUGUAGCGGUGGAAUGCGUAGAUAUUGGGAGGAACACCAGUGGCGAAGGCGACUACCUGGACGAAAACUGACGCUGAGGCACGAAAGCUAGGGGAGCAAGC
rnacentral:rRNA from 1 species